rnacentral:lncRNA from 1 species
CACUCAAGACUAAAAGGAUGAAUCAAAACAAAAUCCAAAUAAAUUUGAAAGCGUACACUUACCUAUAAACCGUUAUUUGUGGAGAUUUUGUGGGGUGCUCCUCUUUUUUUUAUGGUUAUGUGUCGGCUCCUCAAAGUUCUUUGCGCAUCCUCUCAAAAGAAUUGUUCUCGUGUCCUCUCUAUCUGAUCCCUUGCUCUCCUCCAAAGUUCCGCGUGAAAAUUCUUUCCGCCUAUUCCCCUCCGAAAAAAAGUUUUUUAUGCUUGGAUUCUCU